UUUUCUCCCAAGAUCAAUUAGAAUGAAGUAUUUAACAAAGAGAAACUCAUAUGCUCAUAUUAAUCAAACAUAUUUCUGACUUGCAAAUCAUUAAACUGGGGAG